CAUUCUAGAAGACUUCAAUGUUCUGUGCACUGUGCAAACUAGACAGGCACAGAGUCAGCAAUUAGAGCAGGACAGCCAAAAUACACCUCUGGCACUUGGAUUAUGAAUAAUCAUGUAGCUUUCUGAUUAAGUUGUGAGAAAAACUUAAGAAGCAGGAAAUAUAUAUCUGAUUGUUUCAGGUAUUACCCUGUGCUGAUUGAAGGGUCUCCAAACUGUGCAGAAACAUUAAGACCUUCUGACUAGUGAAACUUGACUCCAGCUCAGUGCAUGUUCUCCUGCAAUAAAAGCUUUUUGGGACACCUACCUUCCUAUGGCCAUGCCCUGCAGGACUUUGUGACCUUGCAAUGAUGGACCUACAAUUCCAUGAUUCAUUGAGAGGAAUCAUGUCAUGCCAAGACGUGAACCAUCUGAUGCAGAGAGUUGAUUUAGAGCAUUCUGUGAACCCACUUCUGAACCCAAAACAAGGCCCCAGCUACAGGUAAACCUCCUAUGGAUGUCAGUGACGCUUUUGGGGUAAAAAUAUUCAAGGUUUAACCCAUGUUACAUUGUACAAAUGAUGCAAAUGCUUCUGCCGUGUUUUCCAUAGCAGUCAUAUAUUAUUUCAAGUAACAUAAUUUGGGAAGGAAAGAAUACAAAAUUUAUCUAUAUAUAUUUAUAAAUAUGAAGCAAAUUGAAUUCCCAUAGGAAUAUUUAUAAUACAUAUUUGAUUUAUAGCAAGCAAAUUUUUUUUAUAGAUAAUGCAUCUAAGUGGAUGUUUUAAAAGUCUGAUUUAAGAAAAAAUGCUCCUAUAGCUGCUGGCCUUAACAAACCUUCAUUUAAUGUUUUUAAAUAUUGACAAUGAUAAAGCUAAUUUACAAUUUAAAGUUAAUUUACGCAUUUUCUAGGCCUGUGACUUUUCCAAACAAGAUGUUAGGUAUUUUUCAAACAGGGAAUGCCAACACUUGUAGUUGUGUAAAAAUAUAAAUCAGUUACUUCUCUUUGGGCAAUGAUUACACACUUAUAAUAUGAGGUAGAAAAAUAUAUUCUUUCUUGGAAAACAUGUAUGAAGAGUAAGGCGUAUGACCAGUGAGGAAUAAACUAUCAGACUUAAAAGUAAUAUUGAAAAAUUCUGUACUGUGUGUGAAUUAAGGACUUAUG
rnacentral:lncRNA from 1 species